ensembl:snRNA U2 U2 spliceosomal RNA
AUCACUUCUUGGCCUUUUGGCUAAGAUCAAGUGUAGUAUCUGAAAUCAUUAUUCUACACUAUAUGUUAACUUGGAUUUAAAUAAAAUUAAAAAUUUUU